rnacentral:tRNA from 1 species
AAGGCCUUAGCUUAAUUAAAGCGUCUGAUUUGCACUCAGUUAAUGUGGGAUAGAGUCCCGCAGGCCUUA